UGGGGAAUUGUUCGCAAUGGGCGCAAGCCUGACGACGCAACGCCGCGUGGAGGAUGAAGGUCUUCGGAUUGUAAACUCCUGUUGCCCGGGACGAAUAGCUUCGACCUAAUACGUCGGAGUAUGACGGUACCGGGUGAGGAAGCCCCGGCUAACUCUGUGCCAGCAGCCGCGGUAAUACAGAGGGGGCAAGCGUUGUUCGGAAUUACUGGGCGUAAAGGGCGCGUAGGCGGCCUGUUAAGUCGAACGUGAAAUCCCUGGGCUUAACCCAGGAACUGCGUCCGAUACUGGCUGGCUUGAAUCCGGGAGAGGGAUGCGGAAUUCCAGGUGUAGCGGUGAAAUGCGUAGAUAUCAAGAGGAACACCUGAGGUGAAGACGGGUUGCUGGGCUGACACUGACGCUGAGGCGCGAAAGCCAGGGGAGCAAACGGGGAUUAGAUACCCAAGUAGUCCCUGAGCGGGCUGGCAAGGCGCAU
rnacentral:rRNA from 1 species